rnacentral:rRNA from 1 species
GUAGGUGGCAAGCGUUGUCCGGAAUUAUUGGGCGUAAAGAGCGCGCAGGGCGGUCCUUUAAGUCUGAUGUGAAAGCCCACGGCUCAACCGUGGAGGGUCAUUGGAAACUGGGGGACUUGAGUACAGAAGAGGAAAGCGGAAUUCCAAGUGUAGCGGUGAAAUGCGUAGAGAUUUGGAGGAACACCAGUGGCGAAGGCGGCUUUCUGGUCUGUAACUGACGCUGAGGCGCGAAAGCGUGGGGAGCAAACAGGAUUAGAUACCCUGGUAGUCCACGCCGUAAACGAUGAGUGCUAAGUGUUACGGGGGGUUUCCGCCCCUUAGUGCUGCAGCUAACGCAUUAAGCACUCCGCCUGGGGAGUACGGCCGCAAGGCUG